GAUGAACGCUGGCGGCGUGCCUAAUACAUGCAAGUCGAGCGAACGGACGAGAAGCUUGCUUCUCUGAUGUCAGCGGCGGACGGGUGAGUAACACGUGGAUAACCUACCUAUAAGACUGGGAUAACUACCGGAAACGGUAGCUAAUACCGGAUAAUUUCUUUCCCCUCCUGAAGAGAGAAUGAAAGGCGGAGCAAUCUGCUACUUGGGGAUGGGCCUGCGGCGCAUUAGCUAGUUGGUGGGGUAACGGCUCACCAAGGCGACGAUGCGUAGCCGACCUGAGAGGGUGAACGGCCACACUGGGACUGAGACACGGCCCAG
rnacentral:rRNA from 1 species